GCGCCCAAAAACUCAUGUAACAACUAAAACAGUUACAUUCAAACAUUGGAUCAUGAUUCCCGCCGCCGCCUUCAUCGCCAUGAUGAUCAUCAUCAGUGGGAAGAGUAGUUUUCUGGUGACCGGUGAAGCUGGUGGAUUUGGAGUUGGAGGUUCCGCAGCAGGAGAUAAGGUAAGCUAAGACUUGUUUGUCUUCAUCGGAGAGAGCAGCUGCAAGGGUGAGAAUUGUUGCCGGAAGCAGCGAUAAGUGGUGGGAGACGGACGGCGUAGAUGGAUGAACUUUGCCUUUCUUAUAGAGAUUCUUCAUGGUUUUUGACUGGGGAAUGGUCUUGCAAUGCUCUGGUUCUC
rnacentral:misc_RNA from 1 species